AACGAACGCUGGCGGUAGGCUUAACACAUGCAAGUCGAACGCAUCGCAAGAUGAGUGGCAGACGGGUGAGUAACGCGUGGGAACAUACCCUUUUCUACGGGAUAGCUCUGGGAAACUGGAAUUAAUACCGUAUACGCCCUACGGGGGAAAGAUUUAUCGGGGAAGGAUUGGCCCGCGUUGGAUUAGCUAGUUGGUGGGGUAAAGGCCUACCAAGGCGACGACCCAUAGCUGGUCUGAGAGGAUGAUCAGCCACAUUGGGACUGAGACACGGCCCAAACUCCUACGGGAGGCAGCAGUGGGGAAUAUUGGACAAUGGGCGCAAGCAUGAUCCAGCCAUGCCGCGUGAGUGAUGAAGGCCUUAGGGUUGUAAAGCUCUUUCACCGAUGAAGAUAAUGACGGUAGUCGGAGAAGAAGCCCCGGCUAACUUCGUGCCAGCCGCCGCGGUAA
rnacentral:rRNA from 1 species